rnacentral:tRNA from 1 species
CAGGGAGACAAUAAAUUGAUUGUGUUGUCUAAGUUUUUUAUCCUUAGGCCGCAAUCCUGUCACCUUAAGGUCGAUCGGUACCUCAUAUUUUUGAAUUAUUUUUAUAAUUGAUUCUUUGAUUUCAGUUCCUAAACUUGUCUAGGUCACACCCAACAAAGGUUUCUCCUGGGCCAUUAGCUCAGGUGGUUAGAGCGCACCCCUGAUAAGGGUGAGGUCCCUGGUUCAAGUCCAGGAUGGCCCAUUCGUUGUUGGGGGUAUAGCUCAGUUGGUAGAGCGCCUGCUUUGCAAGCAGGAUGUCAGCGGUUCGAGUCCGCUUACCUCCACUGAAAACUAUCCUGAUAACUAAAUUCUGGAGAAAAAAUUGUUGACGUGGCUUAGAAUUGUCUAUCUGAAGAGAACCUAGCUUCUUGUCAUCUUUUUAUAGUUGAUAAAAUGCUGGGCUCGCAUGGUUUAUUUCCAUGAGAAUUCAGUAGAACCUUGAAAACUGCAUAGAUUAGAAAGAAUAAAGCAUCUCAUGGGUGCAUAAUUCUGUUUUUAUAAUUUAGCUUUAAAACUAAAUUAUUUAAUUCUAGAAUUCAUGUUUAAUUCUUGAGUAAAAGCCGAGCACAAUUGAUUUUGUGAUUGUAUUUAA